AUUGAACGCUGGCGGCAUGCCUUACACAUGCAAGUCGAACGGCAGCACGGGAGCAAUCCUGGUGGCGAGUGGCGAACGGGUGAGUAAUAUAUCGGAACGUGCCCAGUCGUGGGGAUAACGUAGCGAAAGCUACGCUAAUACCGCAUACGAUCUAUGGAUGAAAGCGGGGGAUCGCAAGACCUCGCGCGAUUGGAGCGGCCGAUAGUCAGAUUAGGUAGUUGGUGAGGUAAAGGCUCACCAAGCCGACGAUCUGUAGCUGGUCUGAGAGGACGACCAGCCACACUGGGACUGAGACACGGCCCAGACUCCUACGGGAGGCAGCAGUGGGGAAUUUUGGACAAUGGGCGCAAGCCUGAUCCAGCAAUGCCGCGUGCAGGAUGAAGGCCUUC
rnacentral:rRNA from 1 species